CUUUUUUUGCGAAAUUCUAAUUCUGCGAUACUUAGGAAGUAGCUCGAACUACGCACAUCCCUGUAUAGAGGAAGAGCACGUGCAAUUUAGUCUAGAAAUUUCCAAGCCACGUUGCUACGUUAAAAUUUCAUUAGCAUCUUACCGCACGAAGUUUAUAGCUAUGGCUAGGUUGUUUACUUGUGCCGAUGUGCUUGAACAGCUUGAGGACAGCGAUGGCGAUGUCUCCUCUGGUAAUGACAGUGCCUAUGAAGGAGAGGGGAUAGUAGGAUACCUCCCAAAGGUUACCAGCUUUAUGCCAGACGCUGAUGAACUGUCUGGGACUGGGACUGAGGAAAUGCAUGACGCGCUAUGGACCAGGAGAGGGCUCACUGUGUGACUCUGAUCGUUCACCGAGCCCCACCUCUUCUCUGAUGUCAACAGUACCAGGGUGUGGACCCGUCUGAUGGAAGUGGGUCACUGUCCAACGAUGACGGAGAUGAACUUCCUGAUGACAAAAGUGUGUCAUUGGGUGAUGGACUGUCCGGCGAUGAUGAAAGUUUGUUGAUGUCUGACAGUGAAGCUGCUCUUUGCAGGCUAUACUGAGAUACCACUCACACUAGCUGUGCAGUUCUAAAGAGAUACCUGGUGACAAUAGGGCUGAUGGUUAUACAUUGUAUACCAGAGGCGAUGGUACACCUUAUCAAAACAACCAAAGGAUACCCACGAUGUACCUCUUGGGUGGUAAUAUAGUAAUACAUCUACGUAUUGUACUUCAAAUUGAUAUAAUUAUCUUAGCACUGUUACAUUCAUAUGAUGUGAAAAUCAAGCUUAGUCAAGCCUUUAUACCAUAUGAUAGGCUGAUCCAUAAAAAAUUUUUUUUUGAUGUUA